UACGUAGGGGGCAAGCGUUGUCCGGAUUUAUUGGGCGUAAAGCGCUCGCAGGUGGUUCGUUGCGUCGUGCGUGAAAGACCCCGGCUCAACUGGGGGAUGUCGUGCGAUACGGGCGGACUGGAGGCCAGUAGGGGGAUGCGGAAUUCCGGGUGUAGUGGUGGAAUGCGUAGAGAUCCGGAGGAACACCGGUGGCGAAGGCGGCAUCCUGGACCAACACUGACACUGAAAAGCGAAAGCCAGGGGAGCAAACGGG
rnacentral:rRNA from 1 species